rnacentral:lncRNA from 1 species
GAAGAAGAAGAAGAAGCUGAGAGAAUCGGUGGAAUCGUGUCUGUUAGCUAUAAAGAGAAGCAAAAGGGGUUUGAGAGAUUGAAGAGAAGAAAUGAAAAAGAUUCACGAGAGAGAGAGAGAAGGAGGAGGAAGAUGACAACUCUGGUGACGAAAGAUUUUAAUUGAAAAGCGGUGUUUCGGAUAUUUUUGUUUUUGUUUUUAUUUUCUCUUUUGUUUAUUUUUGUUUUUAAAUACCAAUCCCUAUUUUAAUAUUUUGC